rnacentral:rRNA from 1 species
UACGGAGGGUGCAAGCGUUAUCCGGAUUCACUGGGUUUAAAGGGUGCGUAGGUGGAUUAGUAAGUCAGUGGUGAAAUCUCUGGGCUUAACUCAGAAACUGCCAUUGAUACUAUUAGUCUUGAAUACCGUGGAGGUCAGCGGAAUAUGUCAUGUAGCGGUGAAAUGCUUAGAUAUGACAUAGAACACCAAUUGCGAAGGCAGCUGGCUACACGAAUAUUGACACUGAGGCACGAAAGCGUGGGGAUCAAACAGA